rnacentral:rRNA from 1 species
CCUACGGGCGGCAGCAGUGAGGAAUAUUGCACAAUGGGCGAAACCCUGAUGCAGCGACGCCGCGUGAAGGAAGAAGUAUUUCGGUAUGUAAACUUCUAUCAGCAGGGAAGAAAAUGACGGUACCUGACUAAGAAGCCCCGGCUAACUACGUGACAGCAGCCGCGGUACUACGUAGGGGGCAAGCGUUAUCCGGAUUUACUGGGUGUAAAGGGAGCGUAGGCGGUUUAGCAAGUGAGUAGUGAAAGCCCGGGGCUCAACUCCGGGACCGCUGUUGAAACUGUUGAACUAGAGUGCAGGAGAGGUAAGUGGAAUUCGUGGUGUAGCGGUGAAAUGCGUAGAUAUUAGGAGGAACACCAGUGGCGAAGGCAGCUUACUGGACUGUAAAUGACGCUGAGGCUCGAAAGCGUGGGGAGCAAACAGGAUUAGAUACCCUGGUAGUC